UACGUAGGUGGCAAGCGUUGUCCGGAUUUACUGGGCGUAAAGGGCGUGCAGGCGGUCUGUUAAGUGCAGGGUGAAAGCUCCCGGCUCAACUGGGAGAGGUCCUUGCAUACUGGCGGACUUGAGGGGGGUAGAGGAAAGUGGAAUUCCCGGUGUAGUGGUGAUAUGCGUAGAUAUCGAGAGGAACACCAGAGGUGAAGACGGGUUGCUGGGCCGACACUGACGCUGAUAGCGCGAAAGCCAGGGGAGCAAACGGG
rnacentral:rRNA from 1 species